GGAAGAAGCGAAAGUGACGGUACUUGCAGAAGAAGCACCGGCUAACUAUGUGCCAGCAGCCGCGGUAAUACAUAGGGUGCAAGCGUUGUCCGGAAUUAUUGGGCGUAAAGAGCUCGUAGGUGGUUCGUCACGUCGGAUGUGAAAAUCUGGGGCUUAACCCCAGACCUGCAUUCGAUACGGGCGAGCUAGAGUGUGGUAGGGGAGACUGGAAUUCCUGGUGUAGCGGUGGAAUGCGCANAUAUCAGGAGGAACACCAAUGGCGAAGGCAGGUCUCUGGGCCAUUACUGACACUGAGGAGCG
rnacentral:rRNA from 1 species